AACCAUUCUCACCUGCGGCUAGACCUGCGGAGGGAUCAUUACCUAGAGUUGUAGGCUUUGCCUGCUAUCUCUUACCCAUGUCUUUUGAGUACCUUACGUUUCCUCGGUGGGUUCGCCCGCCGGUUGGACAAAACUUAAACCCUUUGUAGUUGCAAUCAGCGUCUGAAAAAACUUAAUAGUUACAACUUUCAGCAACGGAUCU
rnacentral:misc_RNA from 1 species